rnacentral:rRNA from 1 species
GGUGGCGAGUGGCGGACGGGUGAGUAAUGCAUCGGGACCUGCCCAGACGUGGGGGAUAACGUAGGGAAACUUACGCUAAUACCGCAUACGUCCUACGGGAGAAAGCGGGGGAUCUUCGGACCUCGCGCGGUUGGAUGGACCGAUGUGCGAUUAGCUAGUUGGCGGGGUAAUGGCCCACCAAGGCGACGAUCGCUAGCUGGUCUGAGAGGAUGAUCAGCCACACUGGGACUGAGACACGGCCCAGACUCCUACGGGAGGCAGCAGUGGGGAAUAUUGGACAAUGGGCGCAAGCCUGAUCCAGCAAUGCCGCGUGUGUGAAGAAGGCCUUCGGGUUGUAAAGCACUUUUAUCAGGAGCGAAACUACUGUCGGCUAAUACCCGGCGGAACUGACGGUACCUGAGGAAUAAGCACCGGCUAACUUCGUGCCAGCAGCCGCGGUAAUACGAAGGGUGCAAGCGUUAAUCGGAAUUACUGGGCGUAAAGCGUGCGUAGGCGGUGAUUUAAGUCUGCUGUGAAAUCCCCGGGCUCAACCUGGGAAUGGCAGUGGAUACUGGAUCGCUAGAGUGUGAUAGAGGAUGGUGGAAUUCCCGGUGUAGCGGUGAAAUGCGUAGAGAUCGGGAGGAACAUCAGUGGCGAAAGGCGGCCAUCUGGAUCAACACUGACGCUGAGGCACGAAAGCGUGGGGAGCAAAACAGGAUUAGAUACCCUGGUAGUCCACGCCCUAAACGAUGCGAACUGCAUGUUGGUCUCAACUCGGAGAUCAGUGUCGAAGCUAACGCGUUAAGUUUCGCCCGCCUGGGGAGUACGGUCGCAAGAACUGAACUCAAGGAUUGACGGGGCCGC